UGCACUUUUUGGUAAGAAGAUGUUAAUAAAAGUUGUUCGUCUUUAUGAGGGCUACAACUUUGCUUAAUAUCCUUUUAACAAAUUAUGCGUAUUUAAGGAGAUAGCGCUGCGCAUAGGCAGAACGUAUCUCCUUAUCUUUGCACUUUUUGGUAAGAAGAUGUUAACAAAAGUUGUUCGUCUUGAUGAGGGCUACAACUUUGCUUAAUAUCCUUUUAACAAAUUAUGCG
rnacentral:miRNA from 1 species